rnacentral:rRNA from 1 species
GAUGAACGCUGGCGGCGUGCCUAAUACAUGCAAGUCGAGCGAACGGACGAGAAGCUUGCUUCUCUGAUGUUAGCGGCGGACGGGUGAGUAACACGUGGAUAACCUACCUAUAAGACUGGGAUAACUUCGGGAAACCGGAGCUAAUACCGGAUAAUAUUUUGAACCGCAUGGUUCAAAAGUGAAAGACGGUCUUGCUGUCACUUAUAGAUGGAUCCGCGCUGCAUUAGCUAGUUGGUAAGGUAACGGCUUACCAAGGCAACGAUGCAUAGCCGACCUGAGAGGGUGAUCGGCCACACUGGAACUGAGACACGGUCCAGACUCCUACGGGAGGCAGCAGUAGGGAAUCUUCCGCAAAGGGCGAAAGCCUGACGGAGCAACGCCGCGUGAGUGAUGAAGGUCUUCGGAUCGUAAAACUCUGUUAUUAGGGAAGAACAUAUGUGCAAGUAACUGUGCACAUCUUGACGGUACCUAAUCAGAAAGCCACGGCUAACUACGUG